rfam:Myotis lucifugus cont2.109, whole genome shotgun sequence.
GGUGGUUCUCGGGUGAUGCACCCCAGAAUCAGGCUCCUCCUCUCUGGUUCCAGGAUGCAUCUCCUGAGAACCGCC